UAUGGCCACAGUAAAUGACUCUUAAAAUGUCACCACUGUUCAUUACUGCAAGUCGACUAUGGCCACAGUAAAUGACUCUUAAAAUGUCAUCACAGUUCAUUACUGCAAGUCGACUAUGGCAACAUUAAAUGCUAUCUAGGUCCCUGUGGCAUACAAAACGUGAUUUUCCAUUGUCACAUCGACGGUGGAAGACAGGUGAGCAAUGGUUUCAUAGGAUUUCUACAUGUUCUAGUGGUUACAAUAAUGUAAAAGAAAGUCAUAUAUAUUUUACUCUUCAUUGGAUCACAUAAGUUCAUAGGAAUUUGGUCGAAGUUCUAUCGCCAUUUCAUUCCGAUCUUUUUUUAUAUAUAUUUCAGUGACGUUUUGUGGUUGCUUAACCAUUGCAAAUUUAUUACAAACGUAGACGCGGCACCAAAAAGUUCCAUCGGAUAUGGAUUUUGCGUUUUCACGUUAGAGGCACUGACUGUCGUGGAGAAAAACAUCCAAGAUACCUUUUCAGAAAACGGGAACCACCCUUUGGUAAAGCUCGUAGCUAACGAAAAGCUGAAAUCAGCUUACAAGAAGAACAAAAGACUAGUUUCAUCGUAUACAGAAUCCGUCCUCGUCAAGGAAGCGUGUUCAGUGAUGAUGCAAGAGGUAAAGAGUAUGGUCUUUGAUUAUUUUUUGUAACAAGUAUUAUCUUACAAUAAUAUAUACGUUUUCAAAACAUGAUUUUAUUUAUAAG